AUGGCGGUGCUGACAACAACUUCAAGAUCGACAUUCGUGAUGAGUUCCUGUCUAAAGCGACUGUGCCAUGCAAUGCAAGAGUCUACGAUCAAUGGCGUUACCACCGACUACAUGUGUUUUGAAGCGCAUGGACGCAAGUACUCUGUCGACAUUGUGAAGGGGGCACACAGGACCAGAAUCAAGGGGAGUGGCUGGAAGAAAUUCACUUCUGAAUUUUCUCUUCAGAAGGGUGCUGUGGUCAUUUUUGACUUGGACAGGCGUCCCCGCCAGGCACAUGUUGUUGUUCAAAGUGAUGACUUGGACAUAGUUGAAGGAAGCUCUUCAGACGGGGAUGCUGAUGAAGAGAUGAUAGAUGGAGACAUCACAGAUGUGGAUGAAGAUGGUGGCAGCAUAAAGAUCGAGUAUACAAGGGGUCUAACUCUGAAUGAUGCACAACAGGACAUUCUCAAUGAACUGGUGCUCAACUUCAAGUCCAAGUUUUUAGGAGUAUCUUUUCUACACUGUCUUACUACAACUGACACUCAAGUUGGACAAAUGCUAUUCUUUGUUGUGGAUACAGAAAGUACCAGUGAGGGUUGCUACAAGCUUAAACAUCCCUAA
rnacentral:rRNA from 1 species